CCCUUAGAUGUCCUGGGCCGCACGCGCGCUACACUGACAUGUUCAACAAGCCUCCUAGUUCGACAGGAUCUGGGAAAUCUUUGAACGCAUGUCGUGAUAGGGAUAGAUCAUUGCAAUUAUUGAUCUUGAACGAGGAAUUCCUAGUAAACGCGAGUCAUCAGCUCGCAUUGAUUACGUCCCUGCCCUUUGUACACACCGCCCGUCGCACCUACCGAUUGAAUGUUUCGGUGAAGAUUCCGGAUAGGACUUUUUUGAUUUAUUUCAAUUUUGUCUUAAAAGCUAUCUAAACCUCAACAUUUAGAGGAAGGUGAAGUCGUAACA
rnacentral:rRNA from 1 species